UGAGGAAUAUUGCGCAAUGGGGGAAACCCUGACGCAGCGACGCCGCGUGGAUUAUGAAGGCCUUCGGGUCGUAAAAUCCUGUCAGAUGGAAAGAAAUGCAUAUUUAUUAAUACUGAAUAUGUUUGACGGUACCUUCAAAGGAAGCACCGGCUAACUCCGUGCCAGCAGCCGCGGUAAUACGGAGGGUGCAAGCGUUGUUCGGAAUCACUGGGCGUAAAGGGAGCGCAGGCUGUUUUGCAAGUCAGAUGUGAAAGCCCACGGCUUAACCGUGGAAGUGCAUUUGAAACUGCUUGGCUUGAGUAUCAGAGGGGAAAGUGGAAUUCCCGGUGUAGAGGUGAAAUUCGUAGAUAUCGGGAGGAAUACCGGUGGCGAAGGCGACUUUCUGGCUGAAUACUGACGCUGAGGCGCGAAAGCGUGGGGAGCAAACAGGAUUAGAUACCCUGGUAGUCCACGCCGUAAACGAUGUCAACUAGGUGCAGGGGGUGUUGAUCCCCUCUGUGUCGCAGCUAACGCAUUAAGUUGACCGCCUGGGGAGUACGGUCGCAAGAUUAAAACUCAAAUGAAUUGACGGAA
rnacentral:rRNA from 1 species